GGACUACUGGGGUAUCUAAUCCCGUUUGCUCCCCUAGCUUUCGCGCCUCAGCGUCAGUGUCGGUCCAGGACGCCGCCUUCGCCACCGGUGUUCCUCCGGAUAUCUACGCAUUUCACCGCUACACCCGGAAUUCCACGUCCCUCUCCCGAACUCAAGCCAAGCAGUUUUCCGUGCGGUUCCUCAGUUGAGCCGAGGGAUUUCACACGGAACUUACAAGACCGCCUACGCGCCCUUUACGCCCAGUAAUUCCGAACAACGCUCGCUCCCUCUGUAUUACCGCGGCGGCUGGCAC
rnacentral:rRNA from 1 species